rnacentral:rRNA from 1 species
UACGGAGGAUCCAAGCGUUAUCCGGAUUCACUGGGUUUAAAGGGUGCGUAGGUGGAAUGACAAGUCAGUGGUGAAAACCCGCAGCUUAACUGUAGAACUGCCAUUGAUACUGUUAUUCUUGAGUACAUUUGAUGUGAGUGGAAUGUGUCGUGUAGCGGUGAAAUGCUUAGAUAUGACACAGAACACCAAUUGCGAAGGCAGCUCACAAAACUGUAACUGACACUGAGGCACGAAAGCGUGGGGAUCAAACAGG